rnacentral:ncRNA from 5 species
GCUGGGUGUGGUGGCGGGCACCUGUAAUCCCAGCUACUUAGGAGGCUGAAGCAGGAGAAUUGCUUGAACUCGGGAGGCGGAGGUUGCAGUGAGCUGAGAUCGUGCCACUGCACUCCAGCCUGGGUGACAGAGCAAGACUCUGUCUCAA